CCUUCCAGUGGCAUGGAGCAUUGUGUGACCAUUUUGGAGCAGGGAAGGAGCCUUUAUCAUCCAUUCUGUGCCACGAGAGGCUCCCACAGGUGCCCCCGCGGUAGCUGGGUGAGGACAGCAGCAGGAGCGCGUUUGUGUUCUGGCUUGUGCAGCCCCCACGUCACGAUGCUGCGCGGAAGGGGCUCGUGGCGGGGGACGGAAAAGCAGUGGCCCCUUCUCCGGCGGAGGAGGAACGAGAGGAGGGAUCCACAGGCAACCAGCCAGUUUUCAAGGCCCCAUCAGGCAUCUCCACUUGCUCCCGGGGGUCGGCAAGGAGAGGACUGAAGGUCAUCGCCAACUUGAACAUGCGGCUGCCGCUCUCCGAGUUGCCCCCGUGCCACUCUGUCUGGGUUUACAGGGAGCUGAUCCAAAUGGCCAGCAGGUUUUCUUGGGGUUUUUUUGCCUUUUUUUUUUCCCUGCACUGAUGAAAUCAGCACUUAAUAAAAUCACAUCAGGCCCA